AGAGUUUGAUCCUGGCUCAGAACGAACGCUGGCGGCAGGCUUAACACAUGCAAGUCGAACGCCCCGCAAGGGGAGUGGCAGACGGGUGAGUAACACGUGGGAACGUACCUUUCGGUUCGGAAUAACUCAGGGAAACUUGAGCUAAUACCGGAUACGUCCGCAAGGAGAGAGAUUUAUUGCCGAAAGAUCGGCCCGCGUAGGAUUAGCUAGUUGGUGAGGUAAUGGCUCACCAAGGCGACGAUCCUUAGCUGGUCUGAGAGGAUGAUCAGCCACACUGGGACUGAGACACGGCCCAGACUCCUACGGGAGGCAGCAGUGGGGAAUAUUGGACAAUGGGCGAAAGCCUGAUCCAGCCAUGCCGCGUGAAUGAUGAAGGCCUUAGGGUUGUAAAGUUCUUUCAACGGUGAAGAUAAUGACGGUAACCGUAGAAGAGUCCAGAUCGGCG
rnacentral:rRNA from 1 species